CCAGACUCCUACGGGAGGCAGCAGUGAGGAAUAUUGGUCAAUGGGCGGGAGCCUGAACCAGCCAAGUCGCGUGAGGGAUGACGGCCCUAUGGGUUGUAAACCUCUUUUGCCGGGGAGCAAAGUGCCGCACGUGUGCGGUUUGGAGAGUACCCGGAGAAAAAGCAUCGGCUAACUCCGUGCCAGCAGCCGCGGUAAUACGGAGGGCGCGAGCGUUAAUCGGAAUUACUGGGCGUAAAGCGCGCGUAGGCUGUUGUGUAAGUUGGGGGUGAAAUCCCACGGCUCAACCGUGGAACAGCCCUUGAUACUGCGCGACUUGAAUCCGGGAGAGGGUGGCGGAAUUCCAGGUGUAGGAGUGAAAUCCGUAGAUAUCAGGAGGAACAUCAGUGGCGAAGGCGGCCGCCUGGCACAAAACUGACGCUGAGGUGCGAAAGCGUGGGGAGCAAACAGGAUUAGAUACCCUUGUAACU
rnacentral:rRNA from 1 species